GGUGACAACAGGAUAGAAAAUCUUGAUUCAGCUGAACUACUAGAUAUCUAAAGGGGUAUAUAAGGCACUGAAGACCUCUUCUGGAAACAAUUCUGAAUCUCCUGUGAAGUUUCUGAUUAUGUUUUUAUUAUCUCAUCAUUAAUAUGAAGAAAGAGCAUUUUUCUUGUGGAGGUUAUUACUGGUUUGAUGAUAGCUGGUAUAUUUGGAAGACCAAUGUAAAAUGUGCAGCCACUCAUCUGUCCUCUUAUGGUGACCAACAUGACAACUGGACCAUGCUGUUGCAGAAGGGCUGAGCUCAUUGCCUGCUUCCCUCUUCCCAAUGUUCCCAUUUCACAACUGUCGAAAAGGAGUAGAGGACAUACCAGCUUUCAUUUUCAGGGCCAGUUUACUAAAUCUGACAUUCAAUACCCAACAUAUAUUAGAAGGAUUCAAAGCAUGGACUUUCACCAGUGCUGCUGCUGUUAUCAAGCAGAACUCAUGCUGUCAGCUCCUUAGCUCAUGUCUUCUCUGAAGCUGCUCCUCUUUCUCCUUUAAAAGGUUUCUUCUGUAAAUGAGUGGAAAAAGAACAAUUGCCCUAGGAAUGGUGCAAACAAUAAAGUCUGGCUUCCUUGAAGACUUUUUCAGGAUGCCAAAUCUACGUUUGAAAAUGACACAUUGUAAGAAUUGCUUCAUGCUAGAAUGAGAGCAUGCCAACAAAAAAUUGUGGUUAUCAUUGCUCAAAAUUGUUGCAGUCAUUAGGAAUAAGUUUGGAAAUAAAGAAACAGUCAAGGUUUUUUCAACUCCUUAAACAAAACUGUUAAAAGCAAGCUACAUUUCAGCCAAAGGGAAACAAAAACAAAUUAAAGAAUGACAGAGAGAGUGGAGCAGAGUAGUUACUAAAGAACUACUAGUAAUAGUAAGGGAUGGCUUCUGCCUUAGAAUUGCUGACCCACCUUUGUGGGUGCCUGCCACUCUCCACAUGGUGUGCCUCACUGUAGCUGCACCUGGGAUAGGCAGUACUGCUGCUCAGCCUCAUAGGUAUAUACACCUCCUUUUAUGGGCUGGAGUUUUUUCCCCCUGUCUAGCUUUACAAACAGAGGGGGUCUGUAUAAUUAGGUCAAGUAACUUAAUUAAGCUUUUGUAAUCCUUUGCACACUCUAGAAGGGAAUGUAAUAAGGUCUACUCUAUAGAUUAGAGGAAUGUAACAAGGUCUGCAAGGUAUAGAUUAUAUCUUCUUCAUCUCCUCAGUUCUUUUGACACUCUUCUCAUCAAAUGCUGACAGUUCUGUGUUUUCUCUAUUCCAAUCAAAUCUACAAAUUUUACAUUUAGUGAUAACACUUGCAUUUUACUCUAAGGCUAAAUCUAAACUAAGAGGUUUCAGUAAUGAAGAGAAAUGGAGAACAUCUCUGAACUUGAAUGAACUAUUGUCCAGGCUGGUCAAUCAUGAGCACAAAGGAAAAAAGUAGGAAUGAGAAGAAAACUUAGCAUAAAGUAAUCUCACAAUAUUAUUAUUAUCUUUUCAACCUAUUUAAAAACUAACAAAGUAAUUAAAAAUCAGUUGAAUUGUGAUUAGUAGUCAGAAUUUUCCUACUGGUGUGCAGUAGGAGAUUAAUUUGAACCUGUAGGAUUUAUGAUCAAAAUUUCAAAUGUAGCAUGAACAAGGAUACACACCAAACAGCAUUUGUUUUUAUGAGCCAUAUCCCUGUGACUCUCCCAUGUGGAAAAAGCUACCCAGGUGCUAAAAUAGUUUGUAGAAGCAGUCGAGAGCCUGUACAGUCCUGUAGCCAUCACAGGACUUUAACAGACAUCCACAAUGGGAAGUCCAAAAUAGAUACCAAAUGCCAAACUUAAUAAUUGUUAUUUUUCUUGAAACAGUGCUUUUGGAUAUUAUUUUACUGGUAACUAGUUGUAAAAUUUUUAUGGACAAGAGAAAGUUGUCUUCUCAUGUUUUCAAACUAUUUUGAUUGUUGACUAAUAACCAUAUAAAUUUGAUGGAUUAAAGUGCCUCUAAUAAAAUAUUAAAAGAAAUGUUUUGUUUGUUUCUCAUUUAUAAGGAAGUGUAUAUUUAUCUUUAGCUUAUGAAAAGAUAUAAUUGUGAGCACACAUUGUUUACCUUCCAGGCAUUUGGAAAGCAAGUGAAUAUUGAGAGGAUGUUAGAGGAAUGCUAUGCUGUUUUAUGACAGCCUUUAUGAGGACAGGCAGAUGUGAUGGACAGAUGGGUGGACUAACAGAACUAAAUGCGUUAUUAGCUGCUCAGACAUUUGCUGAAUGUCAGCCAAAACUACUGAAUCAUAGUAAUUGACCAUUGUUAAACAUGUCCCAUGAGGAGAACAGCUACAUGCAUAACAAAAAUGCGUAACAUUUUGGGUAAGAUACAAAGACAGGAAAAUUAUUGUACCCACUCAUAUAAACCACACCAUAAAGAGUUGAAAAAGUUUGUUUCCUUUUAAAAGGUCUAUGUGAGUCUCA